rnacentral:rRNA from 1 species
GGUUGAUCCUGCCAGUAGUCAUAUGCUUGUCCCAAAGAUUAAGCCAUGCAUGUCCAAGUAUAAACCACUUGUACGGGUGAGACUGCGAAAGGCUCAUUAUAUCAGUUUUAAUUCCCUUGAGAGUCUCUUUAUCAUUGGAUAACCGUGGUAAUUCUAGAGCUAAUACAUGCAAAAAGGCCGACUUUUGGAAGGCCUGUAUUUAUUAGGUAAAAACCGACGGCCCGCAAGGGCCUUGGGUGAUUCAUAAUAACUGGGCGGAUCGUAUGGCCUAGGGCCGACGACGUUUCAUUCAA